UUCCGUUCCGCACGACAAGUUCGUCCCCGUCCCCACGCACGGACGAAUCCAAUCUCAAUCCCCUCGCAUAGCCGCCGCCGCCGCCACCCUCCUCUCGCUCCUGCCGCAGGGAUCCGGCCGGCCACCAGUACUGCAGGCCCUCCACCGCGGCGCGCCGAGUCGGCGGAAGCCUCCGCUUCCCAGGCGCCCCCUAACCUGCCGCCGGCGACAGAGGAUCGAUCUCUCCACCGUACGCCGGAAACCAUACUGCCUCAGUCUGCGCAGUUCCCUCCUGUUUACUCGAGCGGUUUCCCCUCCGACGUCCAUCGCCCGUACUACCUCGCCGCCGGCGAGCUUCCCGCCGACUACAGGUAUGUGAAAAGUCAAGGUGACAAACAACUGUGGUAUAAGAAUGCUGCACAUUUGACAUCGGAUUGUGCACCUGAGGCUGGUUAUUCAAGUGAAUAAAAAAAGGACAUGGCUUGGAAGAGUGACAAAACAAUAAAUUCGGCAAUAAUAUCUAUCCCAGUAACUCCCAGAAGGGAAGUCUUAUAGGUGGUGCUAAGCUAAAUGAGAGCAUACCAGUACGCGGAUUUCUCUUUGACCCUGCACAUGCAUUACUUUUGAUAUUAAGGGAUCUGUGUGCUGGAAUAUAGCAGACCUUUAUUACAAUCGUUUUAUGCACACUAUAGAUUUUUUACUCAUUAACAAUUUAUUCUUCUUGUCUGGUGUUCGAACCAUCGGAUUGGUGUGUGUACUGGACAGUUGCCAGCCACCGUCGUUUACCUCCAACUCACCGGCCAGCCGCCAUCAUCUACCUCGUGUCUUAUUGGAUCGGACAGCCGCCAUCGUCUACCUCCCGCCUCGCUAGAAUUAUCAGGCGUGUGCCGAAACCAAUUUGACUUAAUGCGAAAAUGGAACAUAUAUCAAUCUUGUAAUGGAUGUUCGGGAUGCUUUUGAGGGAAAUGAUUUGGUGAAAUAUUGAUUGCGAGGGUUUGGAACCAAGUGACAGCAAAAAAAAUGAAGCAAAGCUGAAGGAUCUUGUUCCUUGUGUUCUCCUGUCAUUUGACAAUGAGUAGAUAUUAAUCUACAGAGGCAGUGAAUGGAACUCUAGAUACUCAGCCUCCCACUAUCACUCCAAAAGUUCAAAAGAAUAAUCUGGCAGUGUCAACUGCUUUGAGUAACUCAGGAUGGGUGGUUAGAAGAGCUGGAAGGGAAGGCGCAAGAACAUGAUAAGAAGGAUGUUGCACAACAAGAGAAGAUAAAGGAGCUCUAGAUUGUUGUAGAGAAGAUUAUCAGUUUUUACUGGCGGCCGUUAGAAGCUGUAUAGAAGAUGAUGCAUUUUUAUUAGAUUCAAGUGAGAUUAUUCAGAUUUGCAUAAAAAAGUUGUAUAGAAGUUGAUGCAUUUUUAUUAGAUUCAAGUGAGAUUAUUCAGAUUUGCAUAAUCAGUGCCGAGGAUCGUGCAAAGCUAAAUUAUCUUUGUUGUUGCUGCUUAUCCUUGAGGAAGCUUGUGGUUAAGAACUGGACUCAGCUCCAAGGACUAGGGGGCAACCUUUUCUUUGCUUGGUUAUCAGUUGAUUAUUUCACUAUAUAUUUUGUUCAGUUUAGCUAUAAGCAUCAGACCUUAACAGGAAAUUCAAUUUGAUUUA